rnacentral:tRNA from 1 species
CUGGGCGUAGGGAAGCUGGUCAUCCUGCGUCCGUCGGAAGGACGAGAUCGCAAGUUCGAAUCUUGCCGCCCAGACCA